rnacentral:rRNA from 1 species
CAGUAGCCACGGGAAUACAGAGGGUGCGAGCGUUAAUCGGAUUUACUGGGCGUAAAGCGUGCGUAGGCGGCUUUUUAAGUCGGAUGUGAAAUCCCUGAGCUUAACUUAGGAAUUGCAUUCGAUACUGGGAAGCUAGAGUAUGGGAGAGGAUGGUAGAAUUCCAGGUGUAGCGGUGAAAUGCGUAGAGAUCUGGAGGAAUACCGAUGGCGAAGGCAGCCAUCUGGCCUAAUACUGACGCUGAGGUACGAAAGCAUGGGGAGCAAACAGGAUUAGAUACCCCAGUAGUCCCUGUCUCUUAUAA